GCAAAGCGGCCAACUGACCGCUUUGCCCUUACUUUCAUAUUAUCGCUGCAUAGAUAUAAUUCUUAUUUAUUUUAGUUUAGAUGGUCAAUAACUACAAGAGAAAAACAGCGCAGGCUUCUUGGGACGAAGCUGCGAUGGCCCGAGCCAUUAAAGAAGACACAGAAAAGCCCUCACCAAGGAAGAUUUUUUGCAGCUUGUGUUUCAAUAUGCUGAAUCAAACCAUAUUCCACAUCCUUUUAAAAAUGAAACGGCUGGACACGAUUUUUAUAAAGGCUUCAUCAUGCGCCAUCCUAAUUUGACCUUGCGACAACCAGAACCCACAUCCAUAGCCAGAGCUCGAGGCUUCAACAAAUCCCAAGUAUAUCGAUUUUUUCACCUCCUUGAAGCUGAAAUUCAGAAACUAAAAGAAAAGAAAAUUCAGAAACAG